CAAAUACUCCCUCCGUCCGAAAAUAGUUGUCAUCAAAAUGGAUAAAAAGAUAUGUAUGUAGAAUUAAAAUGCAUCUAGAUACAUCCCCUUCUAUCCAUUUUGAUGACAAGUAUUUCCGGACGGAGGGAGUAUGCA
rnacentral:pre_miRNA from 1 species